AUCUUUGGUGGAUUGUAUUGAGCAACCCUUAAUUGGGUUGGCCGUCUCCUUGUACGGUACUGCAAACUUGAUACAGUCCACCUCCAAA
rnacentral:antisense_RNA from 1 species